AUGCCAUUGGUCUUCGAGAUUUUAACACUGGAGCAUAGAGGAGGUCAGUCUCUACUGACUGCUGAACAUCCAACACGUGACACCCAGGAGUUGUCUACCACCAUGUUUUGGACUAAGGGAAAAAAGCAGAAUUCGGAAAAAUGCAACAUCAUGGAAGUUCCAGGAUGUCUGAAACCAGAGCACUGUAGCCACAAACAUCAGAACACAAACACACUGUCCUCCAGGAUGGCCUGCUUGGCCAGCCUCCCCCACCAUACUACUGCAGCCUCACCAGCCAGGUAUGGGAACCCUUACAAAGAGGCCACAGGGACUGCCAACAAUCUCUUGAGGGACAGCCAUAAGAAGCAUCUAUCGUUAGGCAACCAGACUAUAUGGUCAGUCACUGUGAAUCUUUGGUAAAGUGAGUGGCCACUGCUAAAUAGUCUCCUCACUCACCCAAGGCAUUUUUCCCCAAACAUGUUCCUUAGAACACCAGUUACAUAAAAUACUCCAUUUAAAAAAAAACAAAAAAUAAAAAAAACAUGGUUUUUAUGUCCUCCCCUCUUGCAGAGUCACAAAUUAAAGCCUGUAAGAAGCUGUCAGAUGAAAAAAUCUGUUUCUCCGUGUUGAGAGUUGAAUUGUAUUCCCCCCAAGUAGAUAUGUUCAAGUCCUAAGCCCUGCUACCUGUAAAUGUGACCUUAUUUGGAAAUAGAGUCUUUGCAGAUGUCAUCAAGUUAAAAUGAGAUCAUACUGGAGUAGGUUGUCUCUAAAUCCAAUGAGUAGUGUCUUUAUAAGUGGAGAAGAAAAAAGAUACAGACACACAGGGGGAAUAUCAUGGGAAGAAAGAGGCAGAGAUUGGAGUGAUGCAGCUCCAAGCCAAGGAAUGCCAAGGAUUCUGGCAGCCACCAGAAGCCAGGAGAAGGCAUGGAACACAUUCUCCCUCUGAGCCCCAAGAAGGAGCCAGCCCUGCUGACACUUUGAUUUUGGACUCCCAGCCUCCAGAACUGUAAGAGAAUACAUUUCUCUUGUUUUAAGCCACUUAGUUUAUUGUGCUUUGCUGUGGCAGCCCUAGGAAGCUAAUACACUCCUUUGUUAAUACAGCAGAUCCUUGAAUAACAUCAUUUUGUGCAAGAUCGUUUCAUGAUCACAUUGAUGAGUCCAGGCAUGGUGGCUCAUGCCCGUAAUUCCAACACUCUGGGAGGCCAAGGCAGGAGGAUUGCUUGAGCCCAGGAGUUUGAGACCAGCCUGAGCAACAUAGUGAGACCCCAUCCCUACAAAAAUAUUAAAAAUUAGCUGGGCAUGGUGGUGCACACCUGUGAUCCCAGCUACCCAUGAGGCUGAGAUGGGAGGAUCACUUGAGCCUGGGUGGUCGAGGCUGCAGUGAGCCAUGAUCACACCACUGCACUCCACCCUGGGCGAGACCUCAUCUCAAAAAAAAAAAAAAAAAUCCGCUUGAGGCCAGGGCCACUGUCUGUGUGGGUUUCUUCCAGAUACCCUGGUUUCCUCCCACAUCCCAAAGCUGUGCAGGUGAGGUUCAUUUGCAAGCCUGCAGUCUGAGUGAGUGUCGGGGUGUGUGAGUGUGCCCUGCAAUGGGAUGGUGUCCUGUGUGCUGUCCAGAGCUGAUUCCUGCCUUGUGCCAGGAUAGGCUCCGGCCACCUGUAACCCUGAACUGGAAUAAGCGGGAGUACAUAUCUUGUUUUUAUUAAUCUUUAUUUUCUUUUCUUUGAGACAAAGUCUCACUCUGUGCAGGCUGGAGUGCAGUGCCACAGUCUCGGGUCACUGCAGCCUUGACCCCCACCCCACUGGCUCAAGCAAUCUUCCAACUUCAGCCUCCUGAGUAGCUGGGACUACAGGCGUGCACCCCCAUGCCUGGCUAAGUUUUGUAUUUUUUUGUAGAGAUGGGGUUUCACCAUGUUGCCCAGGCUGGUCUCAAACUCCUGAGCUCAAGUGAUCUGCCCUCCUUGACCUCCCAAGGUGCUGAAAUUACAGGUAUGAGCCACCGUGCCCAGCCUAAUCUUUCUUAAAUGUAUGCAUAGCUUACACUUAUUUCAAUGUUUAAUAUUAGAAGUGUUUUGGUCUUUGUUUAGAAGUUCGUUGAUGUUUUGUGACCAGAAAUAUGCCAUAGAAACUUAACUCUUGUUUAUAUCAAUUAGCCUAUGGUAAAAUUGAUUACAUGACACAUCCUUUUGCUUAAAGUUGCAGUUUCCAAAAACCUAACAGUGAUAAAAAUGAGGACUUGCUAUAUAGCAUUUCCAAACUAAUUUAACCCUAAAAACCUUUUUUGUUAUAUAUCCAUUGACACUCAGGAAACACAAUUUGGGAAACUCUGGCUCAGGAAAAAGAGGUUAGAAGUCCAUCCGACUUACAAAGGGGAACCAGAGAUGUUAGCAGGAGGAUUUUUAGGUUGCAUGGUCCCCAUUUCCCUACCCCUCACCCGUCUCUGGGUAGCUGGUUCUGAAUGGAUUGACAUUUACUUAGCAGAGAAUGCAAUCAAAAUUCUAGUUUCCCUUUCAUCCAGUUUUUUCACCACCAAGAAACUAUGCAGGAAAGGGCUAAAAUUAGGGGCAAAAGCCUAUGGCAACAGCAAGGCAUAGUUUAGAGGCAGGAUUAAUGACUCUCACAAUCUUCGUCAUCUCCCCAAAUAAAC
rnacentral:lncRNA from 1 species